UAUAUAUUUAAUUAGAUAAUUUAGAACCUAAGCUAUAACGUCAUAAUACCUAUUCAAAUAAACCUAACCCUUUAUAAAAGUUAAACAAUAGAUAGGUUACAAUCUUCGUAGUUUAUUGAAAAUAUAGUCACAAUGAAAGCAUAAACUUAUAUUAAAGUACAGAGCCAUCAUCUAGCUUUUAAAUAUACAGAUGCCACUAGAUGCUGAUAGAGCGUGUGAUUUAUAAUGAUAUAAAUAUUUUUAAAUUUCAUUACACAUUUGACAAGCACAAAUAUUAUAUUCCUUGAACACCAAUUAAAACAUGUACCAAUUCAACUAAUACUUACUAACAUUUACUAGAAUUCUAAUUUUAAAUGCUUACUUCCUAAAGCUUAUAUCUCAUAGUAUAGCAAGAUAAGUACAAAAAUGUUGUUUUGGGGUUAAGUCGAAGAGCUAAGGAUUCUAGAAGAGUUGUGAGUUUUCCCGCAGGCCGGCUUUCACAAGCAAUAUAGACGGCGAUAUAAGUAGCACUUGCAGUAUGAUUUAAGUAUUUAGUUUAGUAGUAUGUUGAAAGCUAGCCUCUCCAUAGCUAUAACUAUAACAUUCAUGACUCUUUUAAGUUUUGUAACUCUUCUACGAUGAAUAGCUCUGCGAAUAAUAAUACCCCCAUAGCACAAGGUGUAUGAAAUAUAAGCCUUACAAAUAAGUAGUCCUUUUCAUAAUUAAAACAAAUAAAUUACUUAUACAUAUUGAUAUCGUUUGAUGAUCCAAUUGGAAAGUUUUAGUUGUGAAAGGAAUCAUUAAUAAGGAAGACUUUUGGCGGAAGAUAUUUUUUACAAGUAUGACUUACAAGUUACAUCGUACCUAGGUACAGUCAGCAAGAUAUAUAUUUAUAUGCAUGAGUGCUAAGCUAAUGGUUCUGCUAACUGUAGAUGAACAUGAAUACGAUAUAGUAAAAAAUGUACCUAAUGUACGUAGUAAUACAUAUCAACGUUUAUCAUACGAGUAAUUUAUCCGAAACCAUCCGAUAAUCUGAACGUACUUCCUGCAUUUAUUGCUAAUGAAGGAACUGUCUGAUACCACGCUAGACAACACCGACAAUGCAUGGGUACAGUAAGUAUCAAAUAUACUAAAGUAGCUAAGGUGGCACAAAUAAUUUGGCUGCCUAGUACAUACAAUUCCUAUAUUUGAUUCUGACUGAAAAUAGAUACAGACACCGGCAAUAAUAUCGCAUAAAGAGGAGGCUGCAAAAGUAUCCAACAUAAAUAUAUUUCAAGAGUCAUAAGAGCGUGUCAGAUACUUAUGCAGUAUUCUUUUCGUACGAUGAUUUGUCGGUGACUGUGUACCAUCACUUAAGAAAUUUACGUUAUAAUCCCAAAAACUGUAUUAACCAAGUCGUGGUUAUAUCAAUAUUAGUAUAUUCCGUCAAUGAAUUUGAGUAGCUUGGAAUGUAUAAAAUAUAAAAAUGAUGUGAUAUAAUUUGGUAUGCUUGAAUUAAUUUAGCCGAGUCCUAACCUACAAAAGCUCUAAUUUUACUUACAUAUCACAGUUGCAGUAAAACAAAUGCAUACAAUUUGUUAACUCUUUCAGAGCCGAAACACUAUCUCACGUGAUAUUUAGACAUUGACAUUUUACAUGUGUAAAAUGUUCACUUAUAAUUAUAUUGUAAGUGCGCAAGCAUCUUUAGAAAUUAUUCGUAUAUUUUACUAUUUGGACCACGCUUUCCCAUGCGCCAACAAAGUGGGGAGAAGCGGGAGCGAUGAACUUCAAUCAAUGCGGUUCUCCGCGAUUUACCUACAUUUAUUCUUCAAUGAAUAUAAGGUAAUAUUAUAAAAACGCAUUAAACCCAUAUAAAAAACUGAACUUAUUAAAACUAAAUGUAAAAAUGUAUGAUAUCAAACCAGUGAACUACUUAAUUUUAUCCGACGAGUCUGAAAGGGUUACACAUGUGAUGAUAACAAAUAUAAAUAUCAUGUUUCUAAAAGUAUUUUAGCAAAACAAUUAAAAACUACAGCCCUGUUUUAAGUAAUAAUUGUAAUCUGUAGAGCAAACAUGUUAAAAGCAAUUAAUUCAUUACAGGUGUCAGAAUGGGAAAUCAGAUAUCCUUGAAACUGGGAGUAGGUUUGAAUCCUACCGGCUGCGCCAUGUAGGGAGAUGUUCUGAGAUGACCAUUUUCGAGCACCAAACUGCUUUAUUUAUAUAUUGUGAUUAUCAAGAUACAGAUGUAUUAUGAAAUGUUUCCUUUCACAUUUUCACGCAAACUCACGAACGUGUCAUGCGUCAUGCCAUUUCAGUCAGACUCAGUACAUAGUACCAACGUUGACGAAGCUAGCACGACAAAUACGAACGUACUUGUGAGAUAUAUAGACAUACUUUUAGAAACAUAGAUAACUUAUAUAUUUUUUACCCCGAGUAACUAAGAAGCAUUUACAAAAAAUAUAUGUUUCUUAAAUGACUAUUUUCUAUGCUCCCAUAUAUUUUUUAAUGUAAGACAAAUUUCAUUUGUUAUCUGUGUAAAGGCCAAAAUGUCAUGUUGGGUAACCCAUUAUUUUUUUUAAUAUUACUUAUUUAAUAGCAUUAUAUUUAAUGAAACAAAGUCAGUUAAUUGAUUACCUAGAUUAUUAUAGGACUAAUAGGACUAUGUGUAACAUAUUGAAGAUCUUCAUUUAUAUAAAAACUACUAGAGUCAGACCAAGCUAAGUUGGCAGUGAUUUUGAUAGCUAAGCCAGUCCAAGUGUUAUUUAAAACCUCAAAAUUCUAAAAAUUAACACUUUCAACACCAAGAACCCGCCCGGUAAACACUAACUUUGCUCAGAAGCCAGAUAACCCGCUCAGCGGGUUCUCGCCAAACAAGCCGUUUUUUGUAUGGAAGUGAAUGUGUUAAGACGUUUACUUAAGAAUUGCAGUCAGUGCUAUUAAUAUCGCUGCCAGCGUAGAUUGAUCUAAUUAUACAAUUUUAAAACUAGGACUACUUAUAAUUAAAUAAGAUGCAACAGAAAAAUCGGAUGUUACGCAAAAUUUCAUCGCUCUUGCUCGAAAACCUUAUCCUGCACAGCUGCAUUGAAAAACAAAGCCAUAUAUUUAGGACUGUUUAAGAAGCUAUAACCCUCUCGGAAGUUAUAGUUUGUCAUACGCGCCUAGUUGGCAAAGUUUUAAAACCAAUGGUUUGAAAACUUUGAAAUAUAAAAUGAAUUUAUGAUUUUUUUCGCUUUUUUCUUCGCAAUUGUGGUAAAAACAUUGUGCGUAACAUCAGGGGUAAGAAUAUUGUAACUCGGCUCGAAUAUUUAUUACCCCUUUUUACUAUAUUUCUCUUACCGCCUCGUAGCUCAAUGUAGCAUAGUUUUAUGAGCACUUUGAGCACUUCGAUUUUACCACGAUUAACUAUACUAGGUGAAACUGGUGAAAGGGCCUAACGCGACAGGCAUUAUGUAGUAAAAUGGAGUCAAUUCAAAUAUUUAUAAAUUGUAUAUUAAAGCUUGUUUGAUUUUGACAACAUGAAAUUAAUGUCCAUUAUCCAAUCCAUUCAA
rnacentral:lncRNA from 1 species